UACGAAGGGGGCGAGCGUUGUUCGGAAUCACUGGGCGUAAAGGGCGCGUAGGCGGCCCCUCUUGUCGCGUGUGAAAGCCCCGGGCUCAACCUGGGAACGGCGCGCGAGACGGGGGGGCUGGAGUUCGGGAGAGGAGCGUGGAAUUCCCAGUGUAGAGGUGAAAUUCGUAGAUAUUCGCAAGAACACCAGUGGCGAAGGCGGCUCACUGGCUCGGUACUGACGCUGAGGUGCGAAAGCGUGGGGAGCAAACAGG
rnacentral:rRNA from 1 species